UAAUCUCACCUCUACAACUUUUGUUGUAGGAGUGGACUUGGGCAAUGUCGUGUAAUGACGACUGGCCUUGAAUUCAUGAGUGUACCCUGCUGUUGCAGCGUCUUCAGUGUGAUAAACAUCUUCACUGAUCAAAGUUCCUUUGGGACACGUAAGCAAAGUGGGCACUGCGCUGCAAACCGUCUUUGUGACAACCUUGACA
rnacentral:misc_RNA from 1 species